rnacentral:telomerase_RNA from 1 species
CAGCCAGGUGUUGCGUGAGGAAAAAUGAAACUAUACCUAACCUAGGUUAUUCAGGAGCCCAAAGCCUUUGAGGGCUUCAUAAAAAAAAAGAAAAGGCUCGUUCCAGCGCAGCGCUAAUUUUGU